GCGGUGGCCGGGGCUCCGCUUUCUCCCGUGGGGCCUGGGCUUGGGCCUUUGUGGGGCGGGGGUGUCCCGGCGGCUGAGGCAGGAUGGGGGCGGGCCGCUGACGUCCACGAGGGCGGAGCGCAGUUGUUUUCGCGGCCGCUGGCGUUUAGCUGGAGGUUCCGGGCGAGCGAGGGAGCGAGCGAGCGGGCGAGCGCGGCAUCAGGCCUGGAGGGGCCGCUUGUGGGCACCCGGUGCGAGCAGCUGACGGUGGGGCCAAACUCCCGGCCCGCGCCGGGCUUCAGGUCGCUUUUUGUUUUCCUCCCCGCUGUCGCAGGGCUGCAGCGAUGGGAAACGCUGCGCCUCCGAAGUUAACGCUUUUCCUGGGAUCCGACAGGCGGCGGGUGCGUGGUGCCCACGGCGAGUGUGGGCAGUGCACGGAGGCCAGAUCAGGCUCUGCUGUGGGUGUCCAAGGUCGACCCGGAACGCUUAGCGGAAUGCCUUGGUGACGUUACCGUAUUGUGCUUCUGUUUGUCUGUGGACCACAUGUGUGUCUGGUGCUCCUGGAGGAUCCUCUGAAGCUGGAGUGACUAAAGGUCCUAAGCUGCUCUGUGGAUGUCGGUAAUCAAACCUGGGUUCUGAGAGAGGAGUCAGCACUCCUAACCACUGAGCAUCUCUCCAGUCAUUAAGAAAAAAACAGCUGGUGGUGACACGCACUUUUAACCCCAGCAAUCUGAAGGCAAAGGCAAGUGGAUCUCUGUGAGUUUGGGGUCAGUCUUGUCUACGUAGUGACCUCCAGGCUAGGCAGGACUGAAUAGUAAAACUCUUUUUCUUUUUUUCGUUUUUA